CGGGGUGGAGUAACGCGUGGGUAACCUGCCUUAUACAGGGGGAUAACAGUCAGAAAUGGCUGCUAAUACCGCAUAAGCGCACAGAGCUGCAUGGCUCAGUGUGAAAAACUCCGGUGGUAUAAGAUGGACCCGCGUUGGAUUAGCUAGUUGGUGGGGUAACGGCCCACCAAGGCGACGAUCCAUAGCCGGCCUGAGAGGGUGAACGGCCACAUUGGGACUGAGACACGGCCCAG
rnacentral:rRNA from 1 species